rnacentral:rRNA from 1 species
UGGGGAAUAUUGCACAAUGGGGGAAACCCUGAUGCAGCGACGCCGCGUGAACGAAGAAGGUAUUCGUAUCGUAAAGUUCUGUCCUAUGGGAAGAUAAUGACAGUACCAUAGAAGAAAGCUCCGGCUAAAUACGUGCCAGCAGCCGCGGUAAUACGUAUGGAGCGAGCGUUGUCCGGAAUUAUUGGGCGUAAAGGGUACGCAGGCGGUUUAAUAAGUCGAAUGUUAAAGAUCGGGGCUCAACCCCGCAAAGCAUUGGAAACUGAUAAACUUGAGUAGUGGAGAGGAAAGUGGAAUUCCUAGUGUAGUGGUGAAAUACGUAGAUAUUAGGAGGAAUACCAGUAGCGAAGGCGACUUUCUGGACACAAACUGACGCUGAGUUACGAAAGCGUGGGGAGCAAACAGG